AUGCAGCCUUGUUUCUGUGAUGAGUUAUGUGGAUUCUGCAGAUAGAGGAGCACUAUGAUCUAUUUUAGCAGUCUGGUAUCAGACAUGACAGUUUUACAGGGCAGAGAUAAGUGCAGGUGGUGUUCCAGAGGGAAUCCAUAGGCCAAGGGUGUGAGGCAGUACCGCUAGUUCUUGGGCAGUCAAUAAAUCAGUUAUUAACCUGUUCUGAAACUGUUGUUCCUCUAGAUGUUGCACAUGUCAGUUCCACUUCAGGUUUGUGUGCACCCAAUGCAACAGAGUCAGAGAUUUUUCCUUUACUGGUACCCUUCAUGGUGGCAUGCACGUACCAUCUGCAACCUUGAGCUGCUAUGCUCUGUAUAACAGGUGGAGCCACCUCUAACCCCUCUCAGUUCCUUCCUAUUGGACAGACUCCAAUAUAAAGGGGAAGAAUGGCAGGUCCUGGAGUGGACAGGUGCAGCACAUCUUGAAGAACAACAGCUACAGAACAGGCUAGGAACCGUUCUUCAAGUGGUUGCACUGUCCAUUCCAUUUCAAGUUGACUCGAAUAGUUCAAUCCAAAGAUGGGUUUGAGUCUACCUGAAGGACUACUCAUCUGAACUUGGCAUUGUUUUUGGAGUGCUGAAUGAAUCAUGAAGGUGUGUACCAAUGACAAAGUUGCAGCCUUACAAAUGUCUGUUAUAGGCACUUGGGCUAGAAAAGCUGCUAAAGUUGCUUGAGAUCUUGUUGAGUGUGCUAUCACCCUUCCUGGCAGGGUUAUGUUGGUAGUGUCAUAGCACAUAUAUAUACAGAAGGAAAUCCAUGAGCGGACUCUCUGAGUAGAAACUGGAAGGCCCUUGAUCCUGUCUGCAAUGCUAUGAAAAAUUCAGAUGAAAAUCUGGUUCUGUCCAAGUAAAAAGCUAAUGCUUUUCUGACAUCCAAGCAUGCGAGUGAAUUAACCUGCCGGCAACCUGUGAGAUAACGUCACAGCACAUUAUAAAUAUGGUCAAGUCAUGAUCGCUUGAACCUAAGUUCACUGAUGAUUGAUCAAGAUAGUGACUUUGAUGAAGAUUAACAACAGCUACAGUUUGAGAUUCAUUUUGACACAAUGAAAGUAGUCCUCUUCAUUUCCUCUCUUGAACUUGUGUAUGAUGUACAAUAGCUGCUCUGCUCUACUCCAGGGGUGGUUGCAUUGUUCCCUGUGUGUAUACCAGCUUCUUAGAUUUGUAA